rnacentral:rRNA from 1 species
UACGAAGGGGGCUAGCGUUGCUCGGAAUCACUGGGCGUAAAGGGUGCGUAGGCGGGUCUUUAAGUCAGGGGGGAAAUCCUGGAGCUCAACUCCAGAACUGCCUUUGGUACUGAGGAUCUUGAGUUCGGGAGAGGUGAGUGGAACUGCGAGUGUAGAGGUGAAAUUCGUAGAUAUUCGCAAGAACACCAGUGGCGAAGGCGGCUCACUGGCCCGAUACUGACGCUGAGGCACGAAAGCGUGGGGAGCAAACAGG